GGGUGAGUAACACGUAUCCAACCUGCCCUUUACUCGGGGAUAGCCUUUCGAAAGAAAGAUUAAUACCCGAUAGCAUAAUGAUUCCGCAUGGUUUCAUUAUUAAAGGAUUCCGGUAAAGGAUGGGGAUGCGUUCCAUUAGGUUGUUGGUGAGGUAACGGCUCACCAAGCCUUCGAUGGAUAGGGGUUCUGAGAGGAAGGUCCCCCACAUUGGAACUGAGACACGGUCCAAACUCCUACGGGAGGCAGCAGUGAGGAAUAUUGGUCAAUGGGCGCUAGCCUGAACCAGCCAAGUAGCGUGAAGGAUGAAGGCUCUAUGGGUCGUAAACUUCUUUUAUAUAAGAAUAAAGUGCAGUAUGUAUACUGUUUUGUAUGUAUUAUAUGAAUAAGGAUCGGCUAACUCCGUGCCAGCAGCCGCGGUAAUACGGAGGAUCCGAGCGUUAUCCGGAUUUAUUGGGUUUAAAGGGAGCGUAGGUGGACUGGUAAGUCAGUUGUGAAAGUUUGCGGCUCAACCGUAAAAUUGCAGUUGAUACUGUCAGUCUUGAGUACAGUAGAGGUGGGCGGAAUUCGUGGUGUAGCGGUGAAAUGCUUAGAUAUCACGAAGAACUCCGAUUGCGAAGGCAGCUCACUGGACUGCAACUGACACUGAUGCUCGAAAGUGUGGGUAUCAAACAGGAUUAGAUACCCUGGUAGUCCACACAGUAAACGAUGAAUACUCGCUGUUUGCGAUAUACAGUAAGCGGCCAAGCGAAAGCAUUAAGUAUUCCACCUGGGGAGUACGCCGGCAACGGUGAAACUCAAAGGAAUUGACGGGGGCCCGCACAAGCGGAGGAACAUGUGGUUUAAUUCGAUGAUACGCGAGGAACCUUACCCGGGCUUAAAUUGCAGUGGAAUGAUGUGGAAACAUGUCAGUGAGCAAUCACCGCUGUGAAGGUGCUGCAUGGUUGUCGUCAGCUCGUGCCGUGAGGUGUCGGCUUAAGUGCCAUAACGAGCGCAACCCUUAUCUUCAGUUACUAACAGGUCAUGCUGAGGACUCUGGAGAGACUGCCGUCGUAAGAUGUGAGGAAGGUGGGGAUGACGUCAAAUCAGCACGGCCCUUACGUCCGGGGCUACACACGUGUUACAAUGGGGGGUACAGAAGGCAGCUAGCGGGUGACCGUAUGCUAAUCCCAAAAGCCUCUCUCAGUUCGGAUCGAAGUCUGCAACCCGACUUCGUGAAGCUGGAUUCGCUAGUAAUCGCGCAUCAGCCACGGCGCGGUGAAUACGUUCCCGGGCCUUGUACACACCGCCCGUCAAGCCAUGGGAGCCGGGGGUACCUGAAGUACGUAACCGCAAGGA
rnacentral:rRNA from 1 species